GAUGAACGCUGGCGGCGUGCCUAAUACAUGCAAGUCGAGCGAACAGAUGAGGAGCUUGCUCCUCUGACGUUAGCGGCGGACGGGUGAGUAACACGUGGAUAACCUACCUAUAAGACUGGGAUAACUUCGGGAAACCGGAGCUAAUACCGGAUAAUAUAUUGAACCGCAUGGUUCAAUAGUGAAAGACGGCUUUGCUGUCACUUAUAGAUGGAUCCGCGCCGCAUUAGCUAGUUGGUAAGGUAACGGCUUACCAAGGCAACGAUGCGUAGCCGACCUGAGAGGGUGAUCGGCCACACUGGAACUGAGACACGGUCCAGACUCCUACGGGAGGCAGCAGUAGGGAAUCUUCCGCAAUGGGCGAAAGCCUGACGCAGCAACGCCGCGUGAGUGAUGAAGGUCUUCGGAUCGUAAAGCUCUGUUAUUAGGGAAGAACAAAUGUGUAAGUAACUAUGCACGUCUUGACGGUACCUAAUCAGAAAGCCACGGCUAACUACGUG
rnacentral:rRNA from 1 species